UGGCAGUUAGUGAUGACAGAGCGUAAACCUUUGGAGGAACCUGUCACAGGAAAGAGCUCCUUCUGGAACUGUUCAGCACUCGGGAGGCAACUGGGUGACUGGCUUGAUCUACUUCUGAGGUGCUGAGGCAAGGAGGCUGCUGUUUUGAAACGAUAGUAUUCUGAAACACAGUGUACGACACGGGACUUGACGACCAGAGCUGCUUUUGGCAAGGUGCCAUGGCAGGCUCUCUAGAGAAGUGGUUGAGGAUUGGAGAAGAGGUUGCAGAUGAUCAAGGAGCGACACGUGCAGGGAUGGCUUGAAAAGGGUGAUUGGCUUCAGGUUCCAGGUGGGACCUAGUGGUAACUGAGUUGCAGGUAUUCCAUGACAGAGCUCAUUCUGCCUGGGCUGCUUUUUGGGUAGGUAAACAUUAGGAGGAACCGGUCAAAGGUAACAGCGCUUUCUGGAACCGUCAAGUUCUUGUUCGGCAACGUAGUGACUGGUUUGAUCUACUUCACAGAUGGAGAGGCAAGUGGACUGCUCUCUUUGAAAUAAUAAAAUUGAAAACAUAAAGUUUGUCAAAGAUGGCAGUGCAUGUUUGCAGUCUGUUUAUUGCUUUUGCCAGUGGUAGAUAACAUUUAUAAGGAAUCGGUGAAAGGAAAGAGCGCCUUCUGGAACUGUGAAGCUCUGUGUUGGCAACUCGGUGACUGGCUGGACCUACUGUCCAUCUCCAGAGGGAAGCGGACUGCUAUUUUGAAAUUAAAAAAUACUAAUAAAAAAAAAAAA